GGGGAGAUAUAAACAAGAAGAAUCAGGACUGAAUAAACUGCUGUUAGAAGGACUGGUGGUCGGUCGCGUCGUUCUUGCUGGUCGAGAGCGGGCACGACAGGUGUCAGAAAAGAAAAAUGACAAGAGGCUAGUGUCUCAAAAAGCAUAUGAUAAUGAAAGCAGACACAUGUAUAACUAAUAAUGCAUUGUACUGUGAGUAAUUAAAGCCCAAGGAGGAGCAGUUACACAACUUGGAGGAUUAAGAAAUCUCAGACAAGGAUCCUCCUCUAUGAGGCCUUACAGAUGGAUAUAAAACUCCAAUUACGUACAAAGUUUCAAAUAGGCUGUUCAAGAUAGAAGGCUGUCGAACAUUUACAACCAUAGUUGUCAUCUCUUGAAAGUCUGCUCACUUCUGAAGAUAAAACAGAAGGUAAAUGGGUCCAGAACAGAUCAGAAGUGUCAGAGAGCUGGGAGGAAUGGAGCUGGAGUUUAGGGGGAAGCAUGGAGAGGGAGUCCUUGGUGUCUUCUGAUGGUGAGGCAGCUUGGAGAAAACCAAAGUCUGCAGGAAGUUUCUGGGACCCUGAGCAAUCACCACACCAAAGGCAGUGCUUGGAAGAUUUUAAUCUGAGAAAAAUGGUUUUAAUACAGUACGUGCUGUAGGGAUAUUUGUUUUGGCAGAGACUGAGCUUAAGUCAAAUACUCUGUGUUUACAAUCCAAGUGAUUAAUAAACAGACGUGGAAUUU
rnacentral:lncRNA from 1 species